AUUGAACGCUGGCGGCAGGCCUAACACAUGCAAGUCGAGCGGAGCGGCGGACGGGUGAGUAAUGCCUAGGAAUCUGCCUGGUAGUGGGGGAUAACGUCCGGAAACGGGCGCUAAUACCGCAUACUAUCAGAUGAGCCUAGGUCGGAUUAGCUAGUUGGUGGGGUAAAGGCUCACCUAGGCGACGAUCUCUAGCUGGUCUGAGAGGAUGAUCAGCCACACUGGGACUGAGACACGGCCCAGACUCCUACGGGAGGCAGCAGUGGGGAAUAUUGCACAAUGGGCGCAAGCCUGAUGCAGCCAUGCCGCGUGUAUGAAGAAGGCCUUAGGGUUGUAAAGUACUUUCAGCGGGGAGGCGUUACCCGCAGAAGAAGCACCGGCUAACUCCGUGCCAGCAGCCGCGGUAAUAC
rnacentral:rRNA from 1 species